ACUCCUACGGGAGGCAGCAGUGGGGAAUAUUGCACAAAUGGGGCGCAAGCCUGAUGCAGCCAUGCCGCGUGUGUGAAGAAGGCCUUCGGGGUUGUAAAAGCACUUUUCAGUGCGUGAGGAAGGGUAGUGUAGUUAAUAGCUGCAUUAUUUGACGUUAGCGACAGAAGAAGCACCGGCUAACUCCGUGCCAGCAGCCGCGGUAAUACGGAGGGUGCGAGCGUUAAUCGGAAUUACUGGGCGUAAAGCGCAUGCAGGUGGUUUGUUAAGUCAGAUGUGAAAGCCCGGGGCUCAACCUCGGAAUUGCAUUUGAAACUGGCAGACUAGAGUACUGUAGAGGGGGGUAGAAUUGCAGGUGUAGCGGUGAAAUGCGUAGAGAUCUGAAGGAAUACCGGUGGCGAAGGCGGCCCCCUGG
rnacentral:rRNA from 1 species